AGAUGUUUUCAAUUACACUAAUUAAAUCUCACGUAUUACAUUUAGGUAGUUUUUUUUUUAAGUUUCUUCUAUUCUAUUUACAUUUUAGCCAUUACACUUGAGGUGACUGACAGUUGUCUAACCAAACUUGUUUUAUUUUGUAGCGGGGACGGGCGAGUCGGUUACGAAGCUGAAGCCCCAUACAAUGCUAUUCAUGUUGGAGCAGCCGCACCUACACUUCCAGAAGCUUUAAUAGAACAGUUGAAGCCGGAGGCAGACUCAUAGUUCCGGUUGGGCCGGAGGGCGGAGAGCAACAUUUGACACAGGUCGACAAGGCAGCGGACGGGUCACACACGGUCAAAAAGCUGAUGACGUCAUCUACGUGCCUCUGACCGACAAGGAGCGGCAGCACCGUGAGUGACCGACAUACUUGCUCGUGGCCGGCGCACUGUUCUGCCUGGCGCUCAUAUGCUGGUACAAGGAUCUCUUGCGGAAACUCUGGCGAUUAAAGUAGGCCGUGUAUAUAUGUUCCAUAUCACUAUUUACUAUGAUAUACUUAAUAGUAUUAAGUCCUGAUUUUUAAGAGAUGCUUUACAUUUUCAUUUUGCCGUUAAAAGUCCGCAGCGAGCUCGGCCGAAUUUCACCAUGCCAUACAAACGGAGUUUUGUUCUCAUUUUAAAACUACGUUGUUGGAUUUAAAUGAAACUAAGGUAAGUCAAUAAAUUUUUCGUGUGAUGGCUCCAUCAAGGUGUUGAUGAUUCUGCCAAUGUCCAGGUUGGAUAAGACACGGCUAGUAUAUGAAUCUUAUCAUAUUACGGUCAUAGACAGUGUUCGUGGAGUAUCCGAUAAAUCUGCAAAGAAAUACAAAUUACCACUAACUAAUAGACUACAUACAACUAUUAAACAAUAUGAACACUACACUAUGUACAGAACAAACUACAGUUAAGUAUUAAAUCUACGAACUUAUUGUACAAUAAUAUGAUACAUACUACAAUUUAAGGUAAGUAAGGUUGCCAGAGCUCGACGAGGGGAGGGAGGUUGUUAGGGUCGGCAACGCGCAUGUAACUCCUCUAGAGUUGCAGGCGUACAUAGGCUACGGAGACUGCUUACCAUCAGGCGGGCCGUAUGCUUGUUUGCCACCGACGUAGUAUAAUAAAAAACUUUGCACAUACAACGGCAUGAGGUGAGGUGAGGACCUAUAUGACACAUUACAAAUAAAAAUGAUUACCUAAAAACUGAAAAUACAUUUACAAUACCAAUACAAAUACUCUUUAUUGCACACCUCAAUACAGAAACAGUACAAAUAAUACAACACAUAAAGAAGAGGUAAACAACAGGCGGUCUUAUCGCUAAAAAGCGAUCUCUUCCAGACAACCUUCCUCCUUUCCUUUUUUUUUGUUUAUCAUUCAAACAAAAAUUAUUCAGCUACAACAUAUUUAUUAGGUACACAAAUAAAUUGUAUAAUUAUUAGCGGCACUAAGUGGAAAUCAUUAUGCCUAUAAUUAGUUUAUAUAGCUCCAACUU